GCUACACUAUUCAAAUGCGCUCAGUGAAUGGUUCUUUUCGGGAUAGGUUUCGAUGGGCGUAGUUCGAAGCAUUCAAAUAAGGUGUGUACAGUGAGAAUUCUCAUUUCACUUGUGCGUUCUGCGAAAGAACAACGGUUUUUCGAUUUGCUACGAGCGGAGCUAACUCUAGCAAAAAUUAGCUCAACUGCAAUGGCGUGGAGGAAGAUGUCAGAUGUGGAGGCGCUGGAAGAAAUAUUUCGGAGCGAUGUUGAGCUGGAAGACUCUUCUGAUAGCUGGUGGGAUUCGGACGAGGAGGAAGAGGAAGAGCCGGACACAGCUGACAGACUUGAUCUCGGUGAUGUUCAAGUGGAAGCCGAACCAUCAAGCUCAGAUGGAGCUGAACCUCCCCCCACCUCUCAUGAUUCUUCAUCUUCUUUGAGGUAAGAUGUCCA